UGUUUUAAAAAAAAGAAAAAAAUUUUACCCUCCCGCAACCGCAAACACUAGCUGGAGCCAGCUUUUGAAUUUAUGAGAUUCGGAGCGGUUUGAAGCGAUUUAGAGCGAUUUGAGUGAUUGUUACAAACCGCCGACAACCGCUACCAACCGCAAAAGCUGCGUUUGCGGGUGGUAGCGGGAAAACCAGUCGCCCUCUUAAUAUCCAAACCGAACCCAAAACUAUCUGAACCGAACCGAGCCGAAAGUUCAAGUAGUAAAUAGAUCAUAUAGCCUCAUAUCCGAACUAUCUAAUACCCAAAAUAUCCAAACCGAACCAAUAUCAAAAAUGUCA
rnacentral:lncRNA from 1 species